rnacentral:rRNA from 1 species
GACGAACGCUGGCGGCGUGCUUAACACAUGCAAGUCGAACGGAAAGGCCUCUUUCGGGGGGUACUCGAGUGGCGAACGGGUGAGUAACACGUGAGUAACCUGCCCUUGACUUUGGGAUAACUUCAGGAAACUGGGGCUAAUACCGGAUAGGAGCUCCUGCUGCCUGGUGGGGGUUGGAAAGUUUCGGCGGUUGGGGAUGGACUCGCGGCUUAUCAGCAUGUUGGUGGGGUAGUGGCUUACCAAGGCUUUGACGGGUAGCCGGCCUGAGAGGGUGACCGGCCACAUUGGGACUGAGAUACGGCCCAGACUCCUACGGGAGGCAGCAGUGGGGAAUAUUGCACAAUGGGUGGAAGCCUGAUGCAGCAACGCCGUGUGCGGGAUGACGGCCUUCGGGUUGUAAACCGCUUUCGCUCAUGACGAAGCUUUGUGUGACGGUAGUGGGUAAAGAAGCACCGGCUAACUACGUG